CGCCCCCCGGCGUUGGGAGGGGGAGACGCACGAACGUCGCACCGAUGACAUCACCGCCCCGCGGUGACACCGCCCAUGACGUCAUCACCGCCGCGAUGGCGUCACCGCGGCAUAGGAUUCGACCUCGCAGCAGAACGCUCCGUGGCUCCCGCGGCCACUCAAAGUGGGCGCUGUUAUCAGCAACCGAACCAUCCAUUCCCUCAAGGAGAGCGAUGGCGGGUGGAGGAAGAGCCCGUUCUGCUUCAUCCAUCUCACAGAGAGCUCCAAACAGGAGAAGAGCUGAGCACAACUUCUCCCCUCCGCUGCAGGGAAGCGGCAAUGGGGACACCGUGAUGCGUUCAGCUCAUCUGUCACGGCAAGGCCUCCAAGUUUUCCCUUUCCGGACACAGAGCAGGCUGCAAAACCCCACAGGGAAGGGAGAAAUACAUCCCAUCGAGGGUAAAAUCUCAAGAGAAGAGGACAGCAGUGAAAUCCCUGCAGCGGGGGGUGCUGUAACGAUGGCUGUCUGCAGUGCUGUCCGUGCGGAUGGAGCUCUGCAGGCAGGAAAGCUUCGCAGAGCGCUCAAACUGGGGGAAACUGAAUGCGGUUUGGGGAAAAUAAAGGCGGCUCUUCACCCCAAUGGUGCCUCCUCGUAAUCAGUGCCCCCAGCUCAUUAACGACAGUGCCACGUGAUUCGUUCCCCCACCUACACGAAGCCACCAAUUCAUGAUGCCCCCAUGCCAUCAUUACUCCCACCUACAGGAAGCUGUUAAUCAACACGACCUUCGUUAAGUUGGCUCCCCCAUCUACAUAAAGUUACUAUUUCACCUCUUUGGUGUGAGCUCCCCCUCAGGACGGGGGGCUGAGCCUCAACGUAUGCAAAUCUACCCAUCGGCACCCCCAUGUCAUGGGUUUCUCCAUGAAUAUAAAACUGCUAAUCAACGCUGUCUCCAUUAAUCGCUCCCCCCACCCAUUAAGCUGCUGACCGACCCCCCAGGCUCACCAUGCUGCACCUCACCGUCCCACUCCCUGCCCGGGCACAGGGACAGCACGCUCAGGCCGUCCUCCAGGGCAGCGCCGGCCGUAUCUGGGGGGGCUGCACCAUCC
rnacentral:lncRNA from 1 species